CCCGACCGUCCAAGCUUCCAUAAUACCAUCCAGACUUCUCCGAUAAUGAGCUCCUCCAUUCAUCUAUCAGGCUGCUCCAAACACUUUCUGAGCUUCACUAUCAGCUGAUUUUCUACAGUGAUCAGCUAUUCUCCGAAUCUCUUUCAGACUUCUUCCAACCACGAUCGACUCUACUCCGAACUUCUAUUGCAAGCGGACUUCAUCCGAGCUCCUACAAGA
rnacentral:lncRNA from 1 species